UACGUAGGGACCAAGCGUUGUUCGGAUUUACUGGGCGUAAAGGGCGCGUAGGCGGCAAUUCAAGUCAUCUGUGAAAUCUCCGGGCUUAACCCGGAACGGUCAGAUGAUACUGCUUUGCUAGAGUGCGGAAGGGGCAAUCGGAAUUCUUGGUGUAGCGGUGAAAUGCGUAGAUAUCAGGAGGAACACCUGUGGUGUAGACAGCUUACUGGACCACUUCUGACGCUGAGACACGAAAGCGUGGGUAGCAAACAGG
rnacentral:rRNA from 1 species